GGGAAUGAGGAAAAUAACAUGGAGGUGAUAACAAAGACCAGUGUGGACUGUGUGUGCAGGGGGAAGCGGAGUGCAGGGGGCUGAGGACAGAGUGUUGUUUGUCUCUGAAACUCAGAGCACCAGGAGUUGAGUCUGUUCUCAAGAAGUGGGAAGAAGGGGCCAAUGCUUCUGCUAAUGCCCCCCAGAGGACUGUUUCCACUGGACUUUCUGUAAAACUCUGGGCCCUUUAUGACAACAUGAACUCAUGUUCUGAAGGAGGAGGGGAGGUCAUUUGUGCCUGCGGGGGGCGCAGUUUGGAUUUAGCCCCUCUACAACAUCGGCAUGCUCAGUGGCCCCACAAUAUCGGAAGUAGUCAGCACAUGUGGGAGAAGUGGCCAGUGGCCAGUUUCCGGUUGGGAGCCUGGAGUGAACCAGAGGCCCGGCAGAAGUGGAUUAUCACCAAAGGGUCCAGGGAACCACUCCACCCAGAUUGCUUUUAUAGAACCAGGUGAUAACACAUUUCAAAGUGCUGGUUUGAGAGACUAGUUGACCUGAGUAUUCAGACUGGACAUCAACAAUGCCAUUCCUUGUCCUUAUAAUUUUUCUUCAAUAGUAGUGGGGAACUAUCUUGAGAAAAAAAAUCUCUAACCUACAUUUUUAUAACAUUGUUUGUGUUGUUUAUAAAAAACGGACCAUGUUUCCCAUGCUGAAGUAGCUGUCAUUGAUCUUACAAGAGGGUGAUUUAAAAAUCCAACAAGAACUUAAAGGAAGUUUCAUUUAAAGUAUCUAGUAAAAUGAGAGUUUGUUCUAUGCAAACAAUGAAGAAACUUUGGAAGAUAAUGCUGUUGACUUCCCAGACUCUG